UUCACCGGCCUUACUGCCACUCAAUUAUAUGUAAAUUAUCAGCGCAUGCAACGCAUAAAUUUAACUUGCGAAAGUCAGUUAAAAGCCGGAAGAAAAUUUACAAUUUCCCAUAGUUGAUUUUUACAAUAUUAAAUGUUUGAAUUUUUUGCAAUAUUUCGCUGUUAUUGAACAUGGAUUUUGCUCAGUUUGGCGCUUCUCUAUUGAAAAGGCGGAGUUUAUUGCGAAGACAGGGCGUAUACUUUACGUAUAGUUAGGUGCAACCAAGUUAUUGUUUACCCAAACAUGUUUAAAAACUAAAAGUUUGCUCGAACUUUUCGGAACGUUCUAUUGUCUGUGGAUGAACUUGAAUGUAUUUUAAUGAAUUCGAUUCUGUGUUUGAGUAUUUACUACUGGCAGUUUUUCUCGAUACUUGUCAGUUCCGCAUUUAUCGCCUGUUUUGCCCAGUUGUAAGUUGGGGAAAGUUCCUUGCACCAUUGCCUCAUUAAGGCCCUAGUAUUGGAAAAAGUGUAAUUACUGUUAUAGGGCACAUCCUUUGAUGGCUUUGCGCUGAUUAUCACGCAGGACGACAAGGAGCUGCCGGCUUUCCUGCGGCGCAGAUGUGUCACCAGAUGCUAUACAUUCUGGGCUAGAGCAAACUACUCCACCUAGAAGAAAAUUAAUUUCAGGGCGACCACUCCCGAGGCAGUUCUUGUUGCUUGAAAGCGAGGAACCAAUGGAGCUAGCAACAGACAACACCGAGCGCACACGCACGGAGAGAUUGCAACUACAUAUAUCUCCAUUCGCAUCUCCAUUUUUUCCCCGUCUGGCUUUGUUUUCAGCGCUGUGAUACUGAAAUGUCCUUCCCCGGAGACGCGUUCUGAAAAAGUUAAAGAAAAAGGGUUGAGAAAAGUCGUGGCUGCCUUGCAAGGACAGUCAGUCGCUUCCAAUCAUAGCUAUGACCAUUUAAUUUGGGGAACGCAUAAUUGUUACUUAAUGCGUACUGGAUACAUAUUUAUUUAAUAUGUAUCUACGAUGCCUGAUAUUCUAAAGAGCUAGGCAAACUGUUUUCUGCAGUGUUUUCGAUUGCAUUAUUUUAACGCAUGGGCGGGGCGAAUCUCUCCGAAGUUGGGUGCUUCUGUUGGUGGAGUGGGAGUCACCUCCUAUUUGCAUGCGACGCCUGCCCUUGUCACUGUGAACCGUCGUCUGUGCACUCCGAGAAUGCGACUCCGGGACAAGAUGGGGCAUCCCCCUUUUCCUAGUUCCUGCUAACUGCUAACUCAUCCUGCUCGUCUGCCGUUUUUAUCUCGUUCCGGCUCUCAGUUGUCAAAGUGGGGAAUUCUCCCCAAGCUGUCAUUCUGCUGCAGGCGUGGCAAACUACUGUAAUGGUCCUGCCACCCCAUUCGCCUCCGCGAAGGAGCUUCUGUAGGAUUUUGCUUGUUUUGUUGUUUCUUUCGGCGAAACGCACAUAUUCGAGAGAGGAAAACCACGCGUGUUGCAAAUAUUUGUGUCAUUCAAGAUUUAUUCUUUCCCAUAACGUAUAAACGUAUCCCCAUCUGCAUUAGCUGCAACGCGCUGCUGAAAUACAUGCAAAUUCCCAGAUAAGAUCCAGUUCAAUCUAUUUCUGCUGCCACUGUGUGUCGCAAUGGAUUGAACCUUAAGUGGUCGCAUCAAAUUCUGGUGCACUUUCUGCCCACUGUAAUGUAACCCAAUGACGAGAAGUUAUAACAAAUGAAUGGGGCUUCUUAAGCUCACUGUGCAACCUAAAAGGUGCAGAUGCAGGAGAAGAACAGCCCUCAUCCUUUGGAGUCCCAACUUUUUGCCUUCCCUGCCAACCGGCUUCCUUCCUUCGCUUUUAAUAGGAUUUCUGUUUCGGGGCCAAAAGUGACAGCCUGCAUAUUUUUAAGGGUUCCAUUAAGGAGCUUCCAUGCUCGCUACGAAAAAGGCAUCCGCAAGGGUGCUGCGAUGUUGGCAGCGUCGUUACCUAGAUUGGAUUGCAAAUCAAAUUCGCUGCAUUUGUUUGUCUUGGCUCGACUCGGCUCGGUUCGGCUCGCGGGACUGAGACUGAUAUUGAUUCGACUGAGCCAAGUUAAAGCUUGCCGGCUUCAGCCGCUUGCCGCUGGGCUGCACUUAAUGAUGCAUAAAAUGUUGGGACGCCGCCGCAGGACCUUCGACCUAAACAAUGUUCCCGGUCGAAGCCAUUAGGCUAAGCCGCUUACAAGCCAUAAACCAUGUGGCCGAGACGGCAGUAGUGGGCCACUCCACACUGGGGUCGUGCGGUCGGUUCACUGUAUGCAUUAGAGCGGCCCUCAACUUGCUCCAACUUUUAAUGGCUUGUGCCGGAGUCACUUGUGAUAAAUUCGCGAGUGAAAUCGAUUCGAUGCGUUACUUCAAGUCAUUAAACGAAACUCAACCUCUCAUCGUGCGUUCGAUAGAGUUUCCAUAUCUUUGCUGCCAUCGACAUUUAUGGCACUUCGCACUUGCAUUUGCACUGGCAUCUUUAACGAGACUAUUUGCUCAUCAUUAGCGCCCGAGGUGGCGCCUUCCAUCCGAAUAUUCAAUGGCGAAUAAAAUUUCAGUACUCGAACUUUCGAUCAUCUCCCCAUAGAAACUCCCUUCUUGCCGCCACUUAGCUUGACAUUUCUGGGCACUCCGCAUUUUUCCGUGCGCAUCCGCAUCCGGCGAGCUCGUUAGAAUCCUCGUCCGCUGCGGCAGUUCGUUUUUCCAUGAGGCAUUUGCUAUGCAAACUAACCAGUGACCCAAGCCCUCCAGCACGGAGGGCAAGAAUAAUGGUCGCACUUGCUACCCAUUUUUUACGUCCAGGGAGUCCUGCUCCCGACCGUUAAGUAACGCACAGCUUGGGUCCGCCGCCUCGCGUUACGUGGCGUGGCAACGCCCUCAUCUGCCCCACUGCUUCUCAUCGUCGUCUGGCCAGCUGAGCUAUUGCAUUGGGAUGAUGAAUGCGUCUCGUCUAGUGCCAUGUCUGGGAAUGGAACGGAACCCAUUUGAUAUCUGACAACAAUUUAUUGAGGUAUAAUUGCCUUCAAAGUCCGGUGAAGGAGAGAAAUAACUUUACGUCAUGCCUGAAACCGCAGAGUUGUAAUAUACUUAAAUAUAAACAAGAACAUA